rnacentral:rRNA from 1 species
UACGGAGGUGGCUAGCGUUGUUCGGAAUUACUGGGCGUAAAGCGCGCGUAGGCGGGCUGUUAAGUCGGGGGUGAACUCCCGGGGCUCAACCCCGGAACUGCCUUCGAUACUGUCAGCCUAGAGGAAGGCAGAGGCUAGUGGAAUGGCGAGUGUAGAGGUGAAAUUCGUAGAUAUUCGCCGGAACACCAGUGGCGAAGGCGACUGGCUGGGCCUUUUCUGACGCUGAGGUGCGAAAGCGUGGGGAGCAAACAGG